AAACCAUGUCAGGGGGCAUCUUCUGAUCAUCUGCUUGUAUCUCUCCCAAGCCUCAAAGAGGGACUCUCCAUCUUUUUGUCUGAAAGUUUGGACAUCCACCCUAAGCUU